CGCCAGACUCCUACGGGAGGCAGCAGUGGGGAAUAUUGCACAAUGGGGGAAACCCUGAUGCAGCGGCGCCGCGUGAGCGAUGAAGUAUUUCGGUAUGUAAAGCUCUAUCAGCAGGGAAGAAGAUGACGGUACCUGACUAAGAAGCCCCGGCUAACUACGUGCCAGCAGCCGCGGUAAUACGUAGGGGGCAAGCGUUAUCCGGAUUUACUGGGUGUAAAGGGAGCGUAGACGGCGAUGCAAGCCAGAUGUGAAAGCCCGGGGCUCAACCCCGGGACUGCAUUUGGAACUGUGUGGCUGGAGUGUCGGAGAGGCAGGCGGAAUUCCUAGUGUAGCGGUGAAAUGCGUAGAUAUUAGGAGGAACACCAGUGGCGAAGGCGGCCUGCUGGACGAUGACUGACGUUGAGGCUCGAAAGCGUGGGGAGCAAACAGGAUUAGAUACCCCAGUA
rnacentral:rRNA from 1 species